rnacentral:rRNA from 1 species
CCUACGGGAGGCUGCAGUGAGGAAUAUUGGUCAAUGGGCGCGAGCCUGAACCAGCCAAGUCGCGUGAGGGAGGACGGCACUACGGGUUGUAAACCUCUUUUGCCGGGGAGCAACGGGCGCCACGUGUGGCGGCACUGAGGGUACCCGGAGAAAAAGCAUCGGCUAACUCCGUGCCAGCAGCCGCGGUAAUACGGGGGAUGCGGGGGUUAUCCGGAUUUAUUGGGUUUAAAGGGUGCGGAGGCGGAUGUUUAAGUCAGGGGGCAAAUUGAGGGGUUCAACCACUUCCCGCCAUUGAAACUGGCGUUGUUGAGUGGAAGAGAAGUAUGCGGAAUGCGGGGUGUAGCGGUGAAAUGCAUAGAUAUCACGCAGAACCCCGAUUGCGAAGGCAGCAUGCCGGCUUCCGACUGACGCUGAAGCACGAAAGCGUGGGGAUCGAACAGGAUUAGAUACCCUAGUAGUC